AAGGGUUUAAGUUAACUAAACUAAUAGCCUUCAAAGCUUUCAAUAAUAUUUUUAUUAAUCCUUG
rnacentral:tRNA from 1 species